rnacentral:lncRNA from 1 species
AGUAAUUGACGGAAUCCUGAAACGAAACGGAAUACUUUAUAGUUAAGGAAACAGAAAUAGAAACAAUAAAUAAAUAAAUAAAGGCCGAUGGACUUCAUUGUUCGUUACACUUUCCCGCGCGAAAAGAUCGAUCAUCUUUUUUGUCACCCCCUCCGCCAAAGUAGAACCAAAGUUUUGACAGAAAGCGCAAGAAAACGAGAGAAAAAGUGAGAGAAAAUUCAAUACCCACGUACCCAAAAAAAUAAAUAAAUAAAAGAAACAAACAAAUAAAUUGCUUGAUCGAUCCCCACCACCAACAGGAAUUUGGCUUCGAAGCCGGCCCCGUUUGCUUUUUGACGAGCAUCGUUUACCAGGUUCGAUACAUCAUCUAUCUGUUCACCCAAUUGGAUUUACUGUUUUGAUAUUUAUUCGGUUCUUGUGUUUGCUGCUAUCUCAUACUGAUGAUCCUGCAUGUUAUUUGAAUUUUUUUCUGAUAUAAUUCGAAAAUAAUUUCAGAGAGAGAAGAAAAAAAAAAAAGAUUUCGUAUGCUUUGAUGGAAAUCAAGCAAACCUUUACUCCCGUAAAUAUUUGUUUUUUUCUUGAAAAAGAAUCACAGUUUUGCUAUUUCGCUUGAUCUUAUGUAAACAGUGGCAACUUUUAUGUUAUUAAAUUCUUCUAUGAUGGGGGGUCCUAGUAACAUCAGAUGGCGUACGUUAGCACUAGGCGUGGC